GAUGAACGCUGGCGGCGUGCCUAAUACAUGCAAGUCGAGCGAACGGACGAGAAGCUUGCCUCUCUGAUGUUAGCGGCGGACGGGUGAGUAACACGUGGAUAACCUACCUAUAAGACUGGGAUAACUUCGGGAAACCGGAGCUAAUACCGGAUAAUAUUUUGAACCGCAUGGUUCAAAAGUGAAAGACGGUCUUGCUGUCACUUAUAGAUGGAUCCGCGCUGCAUUAGCUAGUUGGUAAGGUAACGGCUUACCAAGGCAACGAUGCAUAGCCGACCUGAGAGGGUGAUCAGCCACACUGGAACUGAGACACGGUCCAGACUCCUACGGGAGGCAGCAGUAGGGAAUAUUCCGCAAUGGGCGAAAGCCUGACGGAGCAACGCCGCGUGAGUGAUGAAGGUCUUCGGAUCGUAAAACACUGUUAUUAGGGAAGAACAGAUGUGUAAGUAACUGUGCACAUCUUGACGUUACCUAAUCAGAAAGCCACGGCUAACUACGUG
rnacentral:rRNA from 1 species